rnacentral:rRNA from 1 species
UGCCAGACUCCUACGGGAGGCAGCAGUGAGGAAUAUUGGUCAAUGGGCUUACGCCUGAACCAGCCAAGUCGCGUGAGGGAAGACUGCCCUAUGGGUUGUAAACCUCUUUUGUCAGGGAGCAAUUGGCGCUACGUGUAGCGUUAUCGAGAGUACCUGAAGAAAAAGCAUCGGCUAACUCCGUGCCAGCAGCCGCGGUAAUACGUAGGGGGCGAGCGUUAUCCGGAUUUACUGGGUGUAAAGGGAGCGUAGACGGUUUUUCAAGUCUGAAGUGAAAGCCCGCGGCUCAACUGCGGAACGGCUUUGGAAACUGAGGGACUAGAGUGCUGGAGGGGCGGGCGGAAUUCCUGGUGUAGCGGUGAAAUGCGUAGAUAUCAGGAGGAACACCGGUGGCGAAGGCGGCCUGCUGGACAGUAACUGACGUUGAGGCUCGAAAGCGUGGGGAGCAAACAGGAUUAGAUACCCUAGUAU